rnacentral:rRNA from 1 species
AAAAGCUUUCUUUAAUUGAAUAAUUGAAUUUAAUUUUUUAGUGCAAAAGCAAAAAUAAAAAUUAGGGACAAGAAGACCCUAUGAAUUUUUUAUUAAAUUUUAUAAAACUUUAUAUAAAAUUUAAUUUAAUUGGGGUGAUGGAAAAAGAAUAAAUAUCUUUUUUUUAAAAAAAAAAUUGGUUCCGUUUUUAGCGAUUAAAUGAAAAAAAUACUCUAGGGAUAACAGCGUAAUAAUUUUGGAUAGUUCAUAUAGAUAAAAUAGUUUGCGACCUCGAUGUUGGAUUAGGAUUCUUUUUUGGUGAAGAAGUUAAAAAAAGAAGUUUGUUCAACUUAUAAUUUCCUACUUGAUCUGAGUUCAGACCGG